GUCUGUUCUGCCAUCAUUCAUGUACUUUAUUACUGAAAUUCCAUCUACCUACCACAUUAAAUGUAAUGUAACGAAUAGAGUUAGGUUUCAAAACAAUAAUGUGACGAAACAUACUAAUUGCUGUCAUGGAAAGGUUCUACGCUGCCCAUAUAUCCAUUACUUUUACCCAUCUCCAUCUCUCCGGAGUAGCCUCUUGGAUUGCUUCUUCUACCAAUCUUGUCUUCGAGAGUGAAUCUCUAAUUAUUAAGCGCAACAUCUCCUUUGAUCCUACUCUACACAAGCUCGAUAGGGUUUAGAGAACUGAUAUGGAGGAAAUCUUUAAUAUACAGCUUCUGGAAGAAGUGGCAUCUUUUUGUCAAUUUUUUACUUGCUGCACACAUCUUGAAGAGCUGAAGAUUAAAACAAACCACACCGAAUGUUGUGGUUGAGUGGUUAACACUCCUUCGUAUUCAGGAGGUCCUGGAGACCGGCUAUCCUGAUAGGGUUUUUCUCAGCCCCUCCAUGUAAAUGCCAGGAUAGGACCAGAAAUUACACAACAGCUUCCUUCCACAUCCUUUCCAAUUAGAUUAUGGCAAAAUGGUAACAUGUCAACUUGAUGUGGACGUUAUGACAUAAAUGAGCACUGCAAUCUAAACUUUUAAUGUUGACACUUAAAUUAAACAAACUCUCAUGGUAUUUUACACCCAAUGAACAAUGAAUAAGCAACUGAUUUUGUUUCUCACUACUGUGACUUGUUUCACUUGCACUUAGAAAUAAACUUAAAAAAAAUCAGAAAGUUGAUUUCUGGGUAGUAAUGUUGUGUGUAUCUGUAGAUAAAUACCUAUGUUUCAGAGGAACAUACUGUUUUUAUCUUAAGCACUUCUGAACUGAACACAGAGACAGUAUAUUUAUCUGAAAUGCUGGUAUAUACCUAUACGCACAUACAGUGUCAUUACCAAGACGAACAAGAUCAACUUCUGUAGUACCUUAAAUCUUCUACACAUGACUUUCUUAACAUUUGCCAGAAUUCUUUCCAAACACAAUAAACAAAACAUAAUUCCUAUAGCCCUAUACUGUGUUUAGUCAUGCUGAAAUUGGAAAUGAAUGUUCUAGAAGGCAUGGAGAUGCAGUGUGCUGUUGGAUGUAGGCUAAUCUCCGUUCUGCUUAAAACCACGACCACAAACAUUGCACAAAAAGCGACAUUCUCCUGAAUGUAUACGCUGGGCUGCUGAUGUAGUAGAACAUGUACCCUCAUAUGCUGACGAUGAUUAAAGCCUUUCCCACACACCGGACAUUUGUGCUGACGAGCAUUAGUAUGACGCAACAUAUG